GUGCUCAUGUCAGCAGCACAUCUACUAAACUGGAACGAUACAAGGAGAUUAGCACAGCCCUGGUGCAAGGAUGACACACAAGUUCAUGAAGUGUUCCAUAUUUUU
ensembl:snRNA U6 U6 spliceosomal RNA